AUGCUUCUCUCGGGUACCAGCCGUUGGGACUUUAGAUUCUCAAUUAUAGAUUUUGGUGUUUCUUUAAAAAGCGUUGAGGCGGUUCCCCGUUCUGCUGGAGCUCUGAGGCUUGAUCUGAAGGCAAGGCCCGGUCCUCUUCGGUUGCUUGUUCUCCAGUGCAAGGGCCUCACGGUGUUGAAGAGAAGCAGAGAGGGCCGCCCUCUGUCUCGUUUCUGGUUGUUAGAACGCCUUUCUGCGCUGCCCCACUCGUCACCAAGCUUGCUGAGUUGUGUCAGGGAUACUGAUACGAAGCUGCAAACCCCAUGUUCUUUGAGUCAACAAAUCACACAUUCAGUGAGUCCCAGGUAUUUAGAUUAAGCAUGGCUCAAAAAGUACAAGCCUAUGCCAGAGAUGGGGCGGUGGGGGGCUCUUACCAUAAAUGUUCAUUAGUGAGAGGCUUGGGAAGGUGAGGGCUCUUGACCCAGGCCGAGGGGGAGUCAAGGACAAAGGCUGGAGACAUUUGUAAGACAUUUGAAGAUGCCAAGAAUGCAAAUCUCUGUUUUCUUUCUUUUCUUUUCUUUCCUUUUCUUUUCUUUUCUUUCUUUUAUUUUCUUUCCUCUUUCUUUCUUUCUCUUUCUUUCUUUCUUUCUUUCUUUCUUUCUUUCUUUCUUUUUCCUUCUUUCUUUCAGAUUUAUCCAUUUUAGACAGAGGGAGAGCACACGAGCAGGGGGAGGGGCAGCGGGAACCCCAAGCAGACUCUCCCUGAGCUGGGAGCCCCCUGCGGGGCUCAGUCCCACAACCCUAAGACCGUGACCUGAGUCAGGACCAAGAGUCAGAUGCUCAACCGACUGAUGCAUCCACCUGCCCUUCUUUCUUUUAUUUUUAAAAAGUCAUAGUGAAAUACACAUAAUGUAAAAGUUUACUGUCUUAACUAUUUUUAACUGUACGGCUUACUGACAUUAAGUACAUCCGCGUUGUUGUGCAGCCAUCGCCACCGUCCACCUGCAGAGCUCGGGUCAUUUUGCAAAACUGACCCCGUCCCUGUUCAACAAUGACAUUCGUGACUGACGUAUUUCAUUCGGAGCAAUGUCCUCAAGGUGCAUCCAUGUGGCAGCACAUGUCAGACUUAAUUCCUUUUUCAAGCUGAAAGACACUGCAUUUUAUAUAAAACACCACACUUUGUUUAUCCAUUCCUCCCCUGAUGGACACCAGGGUUGCUCCAGCUUUGGGCUGCUGUAAACACGAGUGCGCGGGUGUCCGUUUGAGUCCCUGCUUUCGUUUCGUGUGGGUACGAACUGAGCAAUGGACUUUCUGGGUCCUGUGCUAAUUCUGAAUUUUUUAUUUUUUUGAGGAAUCGCCAUAGUGAUUCAAAGCAGCUGCACCACUUCACAUUCCCAUCAACAACGCACAAAGAUUUUUGCCAACACGUGCUAGUCCCCAUUUUUACGACAGUCGCCAUCCUAGUGGGCGUGAGGUGCUAUCUCAUCGUGGCUUUGAUUCCCAUUCACCUAAUAAUUAAUAACAUGGAAUCUUUUCACAGGCAUAGCAGUCCUUUGUAUGUCUUCUUUGGAGAAAUGUCUAUUCGAGGCUUUGCCUGUCUUUAGUUGGGUUGUUUUUUGUUGUAGGAGCUCCUUAUACAUUCUGGAUAGUCACUCCUUAUCGGACAUAGAAUUUCCAAGUGUUUUCCUCCAUUCCAUAGGAUGCUUUUCACUCUGCUGAUUGUGUAUUUCGAUGCACGGAAGUCUCAAAUUUUGACGCAGCCUUGUUCAUCUACUUUUAAUUCUGCUGCCUGUGCUUUCGGUGUCAUAUCCCAGAAAUCUCUGCCAAAUCCCAAACCAUGAACAUUUCUCCUGUAUUUUCUUCUAAGAGUUUUACAGUUUUAACUCUUGCGUUUAGGUGUUUGGUCCAUUUUGAGUUAAUUUUUGUAUAUGGCGUACGUCAGGGUGCAGCUCCCUUCUCCUGUUGGUGGAAAGUCAUUUUUCCCAACACCGUUUGUUGAGAAGACUGCUCUUGCCCUAUCUAGUGGUCUUGGCACCCUUGGUGGCAAUCGCUUGACUGUGAAUGUGAGGAUUUCUUUCUGGGCUCUCCACUCCACUGUUUUCAUCUGUUUGUUGGUUUGUCAGCACUGCGCCGUUUGCAGAGCUGCCGCUUAGUUUUGAGAUCCGCAAGCUUGAGGCCUCCAGCUUUGUUCUUCUUUUUCAAGAUUGUUUUGGCUGCUUGGGGCCCCUGGACAUUCCAUAUAGAUUUUAGGAUGGGUUUUUUCUAUUUCUGCAAAGAGUGUCAUUGGGGUUCCGACAAAGAUCUGUUGGCUCUGUGAGAGAAUGUAAACCGUGACGUAGGUCGGGUCAAGGAGCCUUUGUGUCGACGUUCGUCGCUGUUCUAGACCUGACGCAGGGACUGGGGGAAGUUUUAUCUCGGGAGCUCCGUGUCCCCUGGAACUCAGACACUCCCUUCCGAACAGUCUCCUGUGGAAUUCGACGAUCUUGAGGCUACGCACACCAACUGUUUGUCUUGGGAAACUGCACUUUCUGUCACCUCGCUUGUCUAGGAGGGGAUUUCCAGACCUCCAGCCACGAGAGAACUGCGAGACCUUUGUGUGGAUUUGUCAGCUCAGGCGUGACUGCAGCAAACUGGUAACUCUCUCAGAUUCAGUUCUUAGCAGCACACGUGACAAAUUUCUAUUUAUACUCCUUAUCACAGAAGGGAAGCUCCCACCCACUGCAAGGUUGCCGAAAGACUCAUAAAUGGGUGUUGAGUUUUGUCAAAUACUUAAUUUUUUUUUUGGUACUUACUGAAAGGGUCUAUGAGAUUUCCCUCAUUUAACGUAUAAAGGUAGUAAAUUGCAUUAAUUGAUUUUCUAGGCUAAACCCCUUGCAACCUCAGGAUAAGUCUAGGCUGUUGGUGACACAGCACCUUUCCUUUAUAGUGCUCAUUCAGUUUCCUAAGUUUUGUUUAGGAUUUGGCCUCCUGUUCAUGCGUGCUGAGGUAGUUGGCCUUCACGGAUGACCCCAUCCUCAAAGGCCAGCCGUGACGCCCAGGACUCCCGCACCACGAGGCAGGCCCCUUCCCCUCCGACUGGCCCCGCGCUGCAGCCCAGUCUAAACAGUCGAGGAGGCAGAC
rnacentral:lncRNA from 1 species